AACUAUAUUGCAUAAUAAAAUAAAAUAAAAAUCAUGCUACUCGUACAACAGUAGUUGACAAUGUCGAGUUACAACCUGAUGUGGCAUUUAAAAAAAAAAAAAAAAAGAAGCAAAAAUUGAAAAUUAAAACUCACUUCUCUCCACAUUUCCCCCAAAAAGUCGAGCCCUCCGUCCUUUCCACUUUCCCCUAAAAUCUUCAUCUCCAAAGCAAUCACCUUCGAUCGUCUCCUCACCUCUGUCGUCUCCUCACAUUCACCGAAGUCAUCGCCGUCUCUUGAUUUAUUAAACAGAUUUGAAUAAUAACUCCAGAAUGAAACAAGUAGAGCUGAAGAUGUUGGUUGUGUUUGGCUCCAUUAUUGUAGUCAAAACUUGGCUGUCAUAUAAAUGGUGACAGAAUUGGGACCCUUAAUGUAUUGGAUAUUGUUUGUUCUUUGGUUCAUUAUUGAACUACUUCAAAAAUUCCAUCAUCAUAAAAAUGAGAGUAAAAAAUUCAUAUUGUACGUCGUAGACAAACAUCAAGUAUCAUGAUCAAAUUAUACACCAGAUAUAAUUCUAAUACACAACCAUGGUAAAAUAAUAUACGUUCCAGAACAUUCAAACAAAUGAAGAUAUCAGCUUCCAAUAUACAGAAUGGCAAUAGGCUCAAGUAAAGUCCAGAAUUCGGAAAAGCAUUCUCUGCACAAGCGUUAAAACAGAUCAAAUUUUUCAUGCUAUUUGCCACUUCCAAGCCAUGAAUUAACCAUUCAUCUAAAGAUCUGUCUUGAGAUUAAAGGAAGGACCAAAAUGAUAAUAAAAGGCUCUUACUUUGGACAUUGGCAAAAGUUGAAAUGAAGAGAAAGGACAGAAAUGCUGGGUUAUUCUUUAAAACUACUUUGGGGAAAAUGCUGGAUUCUUCUAUAAGAUGGUGUCGCUCAUGCCAAAGUGCUACAAUAUGGCCGGGAUGGAGAGUUGUCGGUGAUGUCGAUGGGAUUGGCCAGGGAUUUGACUGGAAUUUUGUGUGAACCGGGUGUAGGAAAGGUGGGUUUCAUCUCAUUUUGCG
rnacentral:lncRNA from 1 species